rnacentral:rRNA from 1 species
UGGGGAAUUUUGGACAAUGGGCGAAAGCCUGAUCCAGCCAUGCCGCGUGAGUGAAGAAGGCCUUCGGGUUGUAAAGCUCUUUUAGCCGGAAAGAAAGAGUCGCAAUGAAUAAUUGUGAUUUAUGACGGUACCGACAGAAAAAGCACCGACUAACUACGUGCCAGCAGCCGCGGUAAUACGUAGGGUGCGAGCGUUAAUCGGAAUUACUGGGCGUAAAGGGUGCGCAGGCGGUUUUGCAAGUCAGAUGUGAAAGCCCCGGGCUUAACCUGGGAAUUGCGUUUGAAACUACAAGGCUAGAGUGCAGCAGAGGGGAGUGGAAUUCCAUGUGUAGCAGUGAAAUGCGUAGAGAUGUGGAAGAACACCGAUGGCGAAGGCAGCUCCCUGGGUUGACACUGACGCUCAUGCACGAAAGCGUGGGGAGCAAACA